GUGACCUCAAAUCAGGUAGGACUACCCGCUGAACUUAAGCAUAUCAAUAAGCGGAGGAAAAGAAACUAACAAGAUUCCCCUAGUAACUGCGAGUGAAGCGGGAAAAGCUCAAAUUUAAAAUCUGUCAGUCUUUGGCUGUCCGAGUGUAAUCUAGAGAGUGUUAUCUGCGUUGGACGUGUACAGUCUCCUGGGAUGGAGCGUCAUAGAGGGUGAGAAU
rnacentral:rRNA from 1 species